rnacentral:snoRNA from 1 species
GGCCAUGAGGAUAGGCGGGUUUGCUGACCUCGGGGCGUGAUGAAC